GAUGAACGCUGGCGGCGUGCCUAAUACAUGCAAGUCGAGCGAACGGACGAGAAGCUUGCUUCUCUGAUGUUAGCGGCGGACGGGUGAGUAACACGUGGAUAACCUACCUAUAAGACUGGGAUAACUUCGGGAAACCGGAGCUAAUACCGGAUAAUAUUUUGAACCGCAUGGUUCAAAAGUAAAAGACGGUCUUGCUGUCACUUAUAGAUGGAUCCGCGUUGCAUUAGAUAGUUGGUAAGGUAACGGCUUACCAAGGCAACGAUGCAUAGCCGACCUGAGAGGGUGAUCGGCCACACUGGAACUGAGACACGGUCCAGACUACUACGGGAGGCAGCGGUAGGGAAUCUUACGCAAUGGGCGAAAGCCUGACGUAGCAACGCCGCGUGAGUGAUGAAGGUCUUCGGAUCGUAAAACUCUGUUAUUAGGGAAGAACAUAUGUGUAAGUAACUGUGCACAUCUUGACGGUACCUAAUCAGAAAGCCACGGCUAACUACGUG
rnacentral:rRNA from 1 species